GGUCUCUCAGCUCUGAUCAUUACAUGUGUAAAGUGGUGUAAUUGUCGUUACAAGAGAGGCAUAGUAACGAGCUCCUUAUGCACGGCAGGCUGACCUCUGCAAAUGGUCUUCCUGUUCCUGUCUGAAGCUCCACAUAC